rnacentral:rRNA from 1 species
UCGGAUUGUAGUCUGCAACCCGACUACAUGAAGCUGGAAUCGCUAGUAAUCGCGGAUCAGAAUGCCGCGGUGAAUACGUUCCCGGGUCUUGUACACACCGCCCGUCACACCAUGGGAGUCGGAAAUGCCCGAAGUCUGUGACCCAACCGUAAGGAGGGAGCUGCCGAAGGUGGAGCCGGUAACUGGGGUGAAGUCGUAACAAGGUACC